rnacentral:lncRNA from 1 species
AACCAGUCCAAGGAAUAUCUCACCAAUUUUAAAUUGGCUUAGCAGCUGAAGACUGAGGCUGCCCGAACACCUCAGAAGCCUCCUGGACCAUCACAGAUGCUUACAGUGGAGGACAGCAAUGUCAGACCUCUGAACCCAAGCAUGCACGUAUUCAUCCAGAUUGCCUGAAGUAACUGAAGAAUGACAAAAGAAGUGAAAAUGGCCAGUUCCUGCCUUAAUUGAUGACA